rnacentral:rRNA from 1 species
UGCAAGUCGAGCGCGUGAAACAACAUGAUCCCUUCGGGGUGAUUGUUGUGGAUCGAGCGGCGGACGGGUGAGUAACACGUGGGUAACCUACCUGAGAGAUCGGGAUAACCCCGGGAAACCGGGGCUAAUACCGAAUAAUCGUUGGAACCGCAUGGUUCCAACGUAAAAGGCGGCUUUGCCGUCACUCCCAGAUGGACCCGCGGCGCAUUAGCUAGUUGGUAAGGUAACGGCUUACCAAGGCAACGAUGCGUAGCCGACCUGAGAGGGUGAUCGGCCACACUGGGACUGAGACACGGCCCAGACUCCUACGGGAGGCAGCAGUAGGGAAUCUUCCGCAAUGGACGAAAGUCUGACGGAGCAACGCCGCGUGAACGAUGAAGGUCUUCGGAUCGUAAAGUUCUGUUGUUAGGGAAGAACAAGUACCAGAGGAAAUGCUGGUACCUUGACGGUACCUAACCAGAAAGCCACGGCUAACUACGUGCCAGCAGCCGCGGUAAUACGUAGGUGGCAAGCGUUGUCCGGAAUUAUUGGGCGUAAAGCGCGCGCAGGCGGUUCCUUAAGUCUGAUGUGAAAGCCCACAGCUCAACUGUGGAGGGCCAUUGGAAACUGGGGAACUUGAGUACAGAAGAGGAGAGCGGAAUUCCACGUGUAGCGGUGAAAUGCGUAGAUAUGUGGAGGAACACCAGUGGCGAAGGCGGCUCUCUGGUCUGUAACUGACGCUGAGGCGCGAAAGCGUGGGUAGCAAACAGGAUUAGAUACCCUGGUAGUCCACGCCGUAAACGUUGAGUGCUAGGUGUUAGGGGGUUUCCGCCCCUUAGUGCUGAAGUUAACGCAUUAAGCACUCCGCCUGGGGAGUACGGCCGCAAGGCUGAAACUCAAAAGAAUUGACGGGGGCCCGCACAAGCGGUGGAGCAUGUGGUUUAAUUCGAAGCAACGCGAAGAACCUUACCAGGUCUUGACAUCUUCCGCUAUCCCUAGAGAUAGGGAGUUCCCUUCGGGGACGGAAUGACAGUGGUGCAUGGUUGUCGUCAGCUCGU